CGCGUAGGCGGAAAAUUAAGUCAGUAGUGAAAUCCUGCAGCUUAACUGUAGAACUGUUAUUGAUACUGGUUUUCUUGAAUAUAGUUGAGGUAGGCGGAAUGUGUAAUGUAGCGGUGAAAUGCUUAGAUAUUACACAGAACACCGAUUGCGAAGGCAGCUUACUAAGCUAUGAUUGACGCUGAGGUACGAAAGCGUGGGGAGCGAACAGGAUUAGAUACCCUGGUAGUCC
rnacentral:rRNA from 1 species